CCUACGGGAGGCCGCAGUGGGGAAUAUUGCGCAAUGGGCGAAAGCCUGACGCAGCGACGCCGCGUGAGGGAUGAAGGUCUUCGGAUAGUAAACCUCUGUCAGCAGGGAAGAACGGUCACUGUGCUAAUCAGCAGUGCAUUGACGGUACCUGCAAAGGAAGCACCGGCUAACUCCGUGCCAGCAGCCGCGGUAAUACGGAGGGUGCGAGCGUUACUCGGAAUUACUGGGCGUAAAGCGCUCGUAGGCGGUAUGUCAAUUCAAGGGUGAAAUCCCCGCGCUCAACGUGGGAACUGCCGUUGAAACUGGCAAACUGGUGUGUGUGAGAGGAUAGUGGAAUUCCAGGUGUAGGAGUGAAAUCCGUAGAUAUCUGGAGGAACAUCAGUGGCGAAGGCGACUAUCUGGCACAUAACUGACGCUGAGGAGCGAAAGCGUGGGUAGCAAACAGGAUUAGAUACCCGGGUAGUC
rnacentral:rRNA from 1 species